rnacentral:lncRNA from 1 species
AGGGAAAAUUUCCUGCAGGAGCCCGAAUCAGAGCCAGUACCAGGGGAGAGGUAGAGGUGGUAUUGUUUCUUCCUGAGCUCUGUUUCUGAUGCAUCAUUCCCACUGUGUGCUUGUACUAAACGCCCAGCCUGCACACCUGUGCAUGCUUCCUGAGUGAAUGAGUUUGGGAGCUGUCUUGUCACUAACAUCAUUCAGGCACCUUAAGCUCUGCGUAAGCUGACAGUUCUGGAGUACAUGGGUAGUCAGGAUCCUGAGCUCUGCAUAUCUCAUCAUUUUCUGCACUUAGAUUCUUGCUUUGCUGUGGGGAAUAGCUCGAGUUCUCCUUCCUGCCCAUCAAACUCAUUUUAAUGAGCUGUUCCUGUACAGCUGUCUUCCUGCAAUAAAGUCAUAUCCUCUUGCUCAAAAUAUUCAUGUUCAAGGCUGACUGGCUAGGCAACUCUACUUGUUAGAAAGAAUUAAUGAAUACCAGGAUCCACAGCCCCCAUGGGCCCCCUGGCUUUGACCACCUACAGAUGUUAAGUAUUUCCCCAUAGUCCACUAAUCUGAAUACAUUAUCAGUCUGCUCUAUUAUACACAGUUUCAGGAUAGGCUUAGAAGGAUGAGAGAAGGAGCUACACUAGGGUGACCAGGUGCCUGGGAUGGAAACUACAGGGGUGCUCAGGGAGUGAGUGAGACUGAGUUCUAUAACUUUAUCAAAAGCCAGAUUAAACACUGUCUUCCACACAGUGUCAAUACUCAGUAAAUGCCUCAUAUACCCAAAUGUACAAAAUUUACACAAAUUACAAUGUGGUAUUUAAAUUCUUCUUGACUCCUAAAAAGAAAAACAAAACAAAACAAAACAAAACAAAACAAAACAAAACAUGAUUUAGGUACAAAGUGAAAGGAAAAGUAUCAGCUCAGGAGCCCUAAGACCAAGUUCUGAGCCCAAAGGAGAUGAAUUUGUCCCAGAGUCAGAGGACAGGGAACAUAGACAGGAGACAGCACAAGAGGAUGACAGGAAUGGGAACAAGAGAGGAGAGGGAAAUGAAAGCCAGAUGUGGUCCACAGACAAAUGGUAGCUUAUAAAGGUAGAAGGGGAAACCCUAUGUUAGGAAGAAAUGUUGAAUGUUAAUUGGGCAUGUUAACGAGCCAAAGGAGGCUUUGGAUUGCUGGAUUUUGGUUGUCAGCCUCAGGAGGAAGUGGCCAAUACGGGAAUAGACCUUGGCUAGCUUUAGGACUGUAAUCUAACGCUUUUUAGCAAGGAAGAGGGAAUGGGGGAGAAGGGGAAGACCUGCCAGAGCUAUACUAGGCUCUCGGCUGGCUAGAGUACCUUCAUAUAGGUACUUUAACUAUAGCUUGCAAUAACUGUGUAGCACAUUUUGAACUCUGGGUUAUUUUUUUCGUAUUUACUUUAAAAAAUACACACUUUUAUCAGAUGAUGUCCUCAUUCUGUUACUGUGAUACAGCUCUGACCAAACCAACUUGGAUGAAGAAAGUGUUUGACUUACAAGUGCCCCUCAUAAUCCGCCAUUAUGGAAGUCAUGUCGGGAGCCACAGAGGAUUGCUGCUUACAGGUUUGCUUUCCACAGCUUCCUCAGCCUGCCUUUCUGUGCACAUCACGACCACCUACCCAGGGUUGGCACCACCCACAGUGGGUUUGGCCUCCACAUCAAUCACUAAUGAAGAAAAUAAAAACCACAUAAACUUACCUACAGACCAAAUCUAACAGACUAUUCUACAGUUGUUGUUCCCUUUGUGUCCAGAUGUCCAAAUUUUGGGUUAAGUUGACAAAAAUUUAUCCACAUAGAUGACCCGUAUAAAAUUAUAACUUCUUUACACCAUAACAGCACCAGAUUUAUAGCCUCAUUGGUGUUGGUGUGGAUCUUGGGCUGGAGAUGUAGGUCAGUUGGUAGAAUGCUUGUAGCCCUGAGUUUGAUUCUCAGUGCUACAUAAUCCUGGUAAGUGUCGCAGCCUGUAGUCUCAACUCUUACCAGGUGAAGGC